CUACUCUGUAUGUGUGUGAGACUCCUGGUGCUUUGUGGACGUGUUUUCUUUUUGUCCCUAUUUCCUUGUUGUCCUAAUCUGAGGUUUACAUCUAAUGCAUGUGAUGUCUGCAGCGAUUGGACCACUGCUCCCACUGCUGCUUCUAUGGAUGUGCACUUUUUCCCCAGUUCCUCUAUGUAGACCUCCUGCUGGUUCCCCAAGCUUUCCACAAUCCUCAGUGUGUGUGUGCACUCUGGCAUCUACAUGGGCCCACGCCCCACAACAGAAACAAGCAAAGAUGAGUGUUAGGUGAGACAACCCGUCCCAGGCUACCCACCAGCCCCAACAGCACAGUUCUCCCUAAAUAUAAGCAAAAACUGCUUACCUUGGGCCCGUUGGAGAACUGAACUGCCGGAACCUGCUUCACCCGGGGCGGAACUGCUCUCCUGGUUGUCUUUCCUCAAAUCUCGGUAGGACCCUCCAGAUCUGUGGUGGAAAAUUCCACGCUCCUGGACUUCUUGACUAUUAGCACUCUGGAACCAAUUAACUCUUGUAAAGAAAACCAAUUAUCACUCUGGACCAAGCAUCCGAAAGAGACCACGUAGACAGAGACUUCCCAACACUGAUGAUCUUUAUUCACUAUAUCACAAUGAUAUUACAAUCCAAACAAUGUCUGAACUGCACUACCAAGCAAUAGAGUGAAGGCGGCGCUACCAGCUGGUACCUCGACGAGAUCGAUCUGAAGCUCUGGCUGCUCUGCUCUCCCUUAUAUUCUGUUCAGAAGCGCCUCCUUCUGAGAACGUCACCAGAUCUCGUUUAGCCAAUCAGAAAGAGCAAAGAAGCCAAAGGAUCCAAUCAUAAUGGUGGAAAGUUUCACCCACCUCCAUUUUAAAGAAUAUGA